UCUCCGUAGGUGAACCUGCGGAGGGAUCAUUACUGAGUGAGGGCUUCGGUCCGACCUCCAACCCUUUGUGAACCAAACUUGUUGCUUCGGGGGCGACCCUGCCGUUUCGGCGGUGGCGCUCCCGGUGGCCAAUUAUUAAACUCAGCAUCUCUUGCGUCGGAGUAUUAGUAAAUCUAAUCAAAACUUUCAACAACGGAUCUCUUGGUUCUGGCAUCGAUGAAGAACGCAGC
rnacentral:misc_RNA from 1 species